rnacentral:sRNA from 1 species
AUAAAAGAGACAUUUGAUUGAUUGAUUGAUUUCCUUCUGUGUAGGCAUCAGGCAUAAGAUUUAAGUACACAUCCAUUUUUGAAAAUGAAACCAGAAGGAUUUUUAAGUAUUACUGGCUUUCUAAAGCCAAGUCCUAGGCAGUUCUGCUCCAGUGGCUUUUCAUGGCCUGACUCUGGUAAGGCAUUCGAAGGCUGCUCUGACUCGCAGUUCAUAGAAGAGACCAACCAGCUCAGUAUUCAUAGUUGUUCCUUCCAGAACAGCACUUGAGAUCAUCAGUGCUAGUUGCCAACUAGAAUUCUGAAUUGGUGACAUUUUUUUUUUUUGUUUAAAGCACCAUGAUUACUCACACAUCCCUCUACUUACUGGGUCUUGUGGAAGGAAAACAAGAGUCUUCUUUUUCUAGCAUCUCCAUCCUCUCCUGAGCACUUGCCUGCGACACCCGCGGAAUCUCCAGCCCAGAGGUUUGAAGCUCGGAUAGAAGAUGGCAAACUGUACUAUGACAAAAGAUGGUACCACAAGAGCCAGGCCAUCUAUCUGGAGUCAAAGGACAACCAGAAACUGAGCUGCGUGAUCAGUUCUGUAGGAGCCAAUGAGAUCUGGGUGAGGAAGACAAGUGACAGCACCAAGAUGAGGAUCUACCUGGGCC